AUCAUUUUGCACUUUACUAAGUGCUCGUCUCCCAAAUAUCUCUCCCGCUGCAGACCUCACUGAACCACAUCUUUGCCACAUGAACUUUUAGUGUACACUACCAUUCAGAGGUUCUGGGUCUAUUUAAAAUAGAAAUAAAUUACAUUUUACUAUAUUCACACAAAAAACAGCUAUUCAAAAAAUUCAGCUUAGAUCACAGCGAUCAAUUAAAUUUUAACAUAACACACACAUAACACAUCUCAUAACCGUGCACUAUAUGUGAUGCAAUAAAUCAUCCUAUGUGUGAAAUAAUACGAACAGCAGCUAUGCUAAUUUUUCUCCUUUUGGUUUCCGGUUUCUGUCUCGGGAUGUCCAUCCCAGGGUUACUAGAGAUUACGCCAGUUCCAGUUUGGAUCCAGCCUCACUUGUGAAGACUUCAGAAAAUGACACACAAUCACAAUGACUUCAGAUGAUGACAACUAUAGAUGAACAUACAAAGCUGCCAAAUAUUAUCCUUAUAUUGUAAUCAUUUCACUAAAAGCUUUUCUGGGAUCCCAGUUGAAGACAUCAGAACAUGAGAUGUUGGCCUGGACAGCUGUACCUACAGUACACCACAUCAAAGUCCUUUUAGGCAAGUCGUGCCACUCGGCCGCCAUCUUGGCAACGCCUCCGGGCAGCUAUUUUGGACUAACAAGACCAGGCUCCUAUCUAAAUGAAUGGGCAGAGAGUCAGAAUUGCACUUUCACUGGUCACCGGUACAUAAAAACUGCAUGUAUAGAAACAGCAGUAAAAUAUGAUAGAAAUUGCUGAAAAAGUUUGAUGACUUUGCCCCAAAAUAAGGUUUAAAACGCCUUUUUCCCCCACAGGUUAUACUUUUACUAUGCAUGCGCAAGGGUUCACGACACCAACUUCAUUUACGUCUCUAUCCAGAAUGCCGGUGUUGUGCCAAGCACUUAAACAAAUGCUCAAUGUCAUUUGUUUUAUCAGUAUACAGUACAAUAUUUUGAAUUAUUUUCUUGUGUCUUGUUCUUCUUGUCUCACUUUUUCUUUGCUUUGUCUACCCCUGAUAUGGACAGAAUUUUUUGUAAUCUCAUUGUAUAACGUUAUGUGUUCUGUAAAACAAAAUUAUUUUUUAAAAACCCUUGAAGAAAUGCUGUGCUUAUUGACGUUAGGGAUACAGUCAGCAUAUAACCAUAGACAAUUCAUAUAACGUUACCAUCUAUAUUUACACAAUGCACACAUACACUGCAUAUCAAAUCUGCCGCCUUUUCAAACAGUAACGUAUUUUGGCGGACAAAAAUAACGUUAGCAUCAAGACAGAGAUUUGUACAUUUCUAAAGUUACUCCAUAACUUUAAAGUAAAAUAUAAGUACAUAUGCCACGUUUAUGUGCCUUCUAUGGGUGCAAUAACAGAGUGGGAUGUGGGAGAUCCUUUUUCGCCUUCCCAAAGGAGAAUAAAAGGUAACGUCUUAAAUAUUUUUACCAUUAACGUUAGACCCCGGUAACGUUAGCUUGCUUACUAUUAUAUCUUGCUGUCGCCAAAUCGUCUCCGCUGUCGCAAAACCUCAACUGUGCGCAUGCGUCAGUGGAACCAGACGAUAGGCUUAAAUGUUUCCCGGCUUGAUUGUUAAAAGGAGAUGAUUGGCUUUCCAGCGGGAGGGGCGGGACAUGUGCAUACAACUGCUAUCUUUGCCGUUAUGGGUUUUCCUUAUAUAGUUGUAUUGAGGAUUGAGGAAGUGGCAUGUCUCUUACAAAAUUGUCUCUGAUCACACUGACCUCUGCUUUUGCAUUGAUAGCUGACUACUACCUUUUUCUAUGAAGGUAUUAUAGCAAAACUGAGCACCUGUGACAGUGGAAUUUGCUGUUGUAAAGAAUAGUCACACAUGCGUAUCAGUAAACUGAAGUCACAAAAGUU